UACGUAGGGUGCGAGCGUUGUCCGGAAUUAUUGGGCGUAAAGAGCUUGUAGGCGGUCUGUCGCGUCUGCUGUGAAAAUCCGGGGCUCAACCCGGACUUGCAGUGGGUACGGCAGACUAGAGUGUGGUAGGGGAGACUGGAAUUCCUGGUGUAGCGGUGAAAUGCGCAGAUAUCAGGAGGAACACCGAUGGCGAAGGCAGGUCACUGGGCCGCAACUGACGCUGAGGAGCGAAAGCAUGGGGAGCGAACAGG
rnacentral:rRNA from 1 species